rnacentral:rRNA from 1 species
UAGGGAAUCUUCGGCAAUGGACGAAAGUCUGACCGAGCAACGCCGCGUGAGUGAAGAAGGUUUUCGGAUCGUAAAACUCUGUUGGUAGAGAAGAACGUUGGUGAGAGUGGAAAGCUCAUCAAGUGACGGUAACUACCCAGAAAGGGACGGCUAACUACGUGCCAGCAGCCGCGGUAAUACGUAGGUCCCGAGCGUUGUCCGGAUUUAUUGGGCGUAAAGCGAGCGCAGGUGGUUUAUUAAGUCUGGUGUAAAAGGCAGUGGCUCAACCAUUGUAUGCAUUGGAAACUGGUAGACUUGAGUGCAGGAGAGGAGAGUGGAAUUCCAUGUGUAGCGGUGAAAUGCGUAGAUAUAUGGAGGAACACCGGUGGCGAAAGCGGCUCUCUGGCCUGUAACUGACACUGAGGCUCGAAAGCGUGGGGAGCAAACAGGAUUAGAUAGCCCU